CACUCCGACUCUUCUCGGUAAGCAGAGGGGCUAGUCGGCACACAUUUGUGCUUUUGCAAGAAUAUUUGAGGAGGUUUUCGUGGAACAUAAAGCUGAUCUUAAACUUUUCAAACGGGGAACCUGGGCAUCUCGUGAUACCCAACUUUUUUCCUUCGUCUAACCAUCGCACAGAGACCGGAGUGACCGUCGGACAGUCAUGCUGUAAAGCGUGUUCACGUGAAACUGUGUGGGACUUGAGUUUGCGGUCCGCGUGAGUGGGGACCAUGCAAGAACAACACGGGAGAGGACAGAAAAACCUGAGGCUGCUGCUUCUGUGCCUCGUCGUUGCCAUCCUCUCCUCAGAAGUGCACGCAGUAAGUUUAAAUUUCACGCGAUCUUUUCAUUUCUGAUUAUGAGAGUUCACUUGACAUGUGCAAUCUGUAGAAUUAAAGCAUAAGCGUCAUGCUGAUUGCGUCUCUCGACUUGGAAGUUGCUGUCUGAAGCAGCAGAAACGCGCAGACCUCGGUGUGUGAACAAUGGGCGUGUCAGCACCAGAGGGUUUCUCCGGUAGGAGGGAUCUUGGCAAAGAGCAUUUUCAGUGGGAUUACUGGUGUCGCAAUUUUAAAAGUUUAAAUUGGGACAGCCACAUUUUUGGCUUUUGCAAAACAAAUAAACAGGAAUAGGAUUAAAAUAUGGGCAUAUGGUAUGCUUUUCUUGACCCCGGAUUGAGAAGUGGGGCCAUGACCUCUGCAAGCAGGAUGAUGCUGAGUAUGAGCUUUAUGGGUUUAAAUGUGUCACUUUGUGUCCAUUUCUUUUUAAUUAAUCAAGAAUACACCAUCACCACCACCACUGCAGCCCAUAACAGAUUCAUUACUUUAAUGAUAAAUGCUAUACAGCACAUUUUAAUCAUAGUGGAUCUACAUGUUAUACAUUAAAAGGCUUAAACUAUGAAAAAUUAAAAAGUCAGAGCUUUUUCACAAGGCUAUUACUACUACUACUACUAUUUCAAGUGUCUGAAUCUGCUAUGGCCCAAUAAGAUCAUGCACACAGAGGGGCAUGAAAACUCCAAAACCUGCAGUCAGUGUACAGUCAGCUCUACUACCAGAUUAUUCCUCAGGUAAAUAGUGACUGUAAAGGGAUCCCUUCCUAAUGCUGCUCUGCUAUUACGAAAUCUGGGGUAAAAGCCACAAACCUCAGCCUCUGCUUUGAGUUGUCUAAAACAAAUAUAAAGUUUCAUCAGGUUUAACUAUAAGCAGAGCAACUUCCUAAGAGCUGUCAUUUUAUCUUAAGCCUAUGAAACUCAGUGGUGCAGGAAGCACUUUUUAAAAUUAUCCUUGUGGUUCUGUGGUAAAGUUUUAAACACUGCUUCAUCAUUUCUGCGUGUGUGAGGUCUUGACAUUGGACAUGACAUGAAUGUCAGCAUCUGCACUUUUAUUCUUUGGUCAGUGGGGCCCCAUUCUGUGGAUCCUCCGUGGACUUCCAUGUCCACGGAGUCCAGAAUUUGAGAUCGAAGACAGGAACUAUCAUUCUUACUGUCCUACUCCUAGAUGUAGACGUGCAAAUCUGAUCUGCACCUGGCUGCUAACACGGGCAAGGAAGCAUCUUCACACUUUAACACGCCUACGAGUGAACACCAUCACCCAGAUUUUCCAGAGCCAAAGUAUAGCCUAUAAAAAAAAUCACAACAACAGUUGCCUCAAGGGGCGAAGACUCCACAAUAACACAUAUUACUUUUCUUUCUCCAGACUUUGUGCGGUCUGCUUUAUUUUUUCUUUCAUUGUUUAAAAACCCAAAUUAAAAGUUGAAUUUUUUUUACGCUUGUGAGUUUUGCACAUUUUGUUUGCACUGCAUUUAUCUGGAACUAGAGCUGCUGAGCUGGGAGCUGAGACAAAGUGAAUGUGUUUAGACGAUAAAGGUGGUUGGUGAGUUCAUUUUCAAAGAUCAGAGCGUGGGUUCAAAUCCCAGUGAGAGCAAGCUGUCCCUGAUUAGCUUCUGGAAUAAGACACACAACAAUUUAACGAAUCACAUUUUCUUAACUUAAUCUUAAAUGCAACUGUUAUAAAAAGCACCAAAUCAUCACUUUGCAGAGUAAAUUUAAAAAACUUUCAUUGUUGGUUAAUUUGGCCUUUUUAAAAACCUUUUUAAAACGUUUUGCAACUUUCAUUUUUUUUUACAGUGCACCAUUGGGAUGCUGAGUCCAUGUGCACACUGUUUGUGUAAGCGUUCAGCACGCGUGUGUGUCUGUGUGUUUCUUUUGACUUCAGCUGGCGCAUGAUAUCAGAUGUUUGGCGGCUCUCUGAGUUUUUUAAUAUCAAACUCAAGGCACUCAGAUAAAAGGUUAUUUUAUCGAGUGAUGAAAAGGUCCCGUUGUCUUUCGCUUUUAUCAGAUUUGGUCAGGGCUUGAUUAGAAGCGUGUGACACGGCUCAGCUCCUCUGUGUAUUGCCAGGCUUUUUCUCCGAGGCAGGGAUGCUGGGCUACAGCCGGCUAAUUUUAGUUUGACAAUAUCCAUGUUUUCUUUGCAGACGAGUAAACUGGAUAAACAGUUUGCAAUAAACAUUUUUUUGAGGCGAAAUAUUUCCAUCUUCAAACAUUACAGAAGUUUUUGAAAACAUAGUAAGGAGUCACUGUCAGUAGCUAUAGCUUGUAGGUAAUGAGGUGUUUGAAGAUAUUUCACAUCUUUCGAGGUUUAGGGGAAACGGUUACCAACUACAUGUCACUAUGAUGUUUUCCAUUUGACACGGAAUUCCCCAAAUCUCAGCUAGAUCUGGAAAAAUAUGUUUCUGUUUAAUAUUAUAUGAAAAUCGCACCCUCGGGACUAUUUCACUCCUUUAAACAAAAUCAUUGUACAACUGAUUCCCACCAUCUGUCUCCAUGUUACGUUUGCACUUGGAAUUCCCCGGCCUGUUAAAACUUUGGUACAUGAGAUUUCGUUUGCUAUUCCCAGAGUUUUUGUGUUUUUCUGCUUGCAAAUAAGCAGAUUUCCUUAAGUUGUGGUGUGACUAAAGGCAAAGGUAUGCUAAACCAGCAAACGUUAUACUCAGUGGUGUUGUGUUAGCUCCCUGAUAGAGGAACGUGGGCGUGAUCUAAUUUGCCAUGAUGAUAAAAGCAUACAUUCUGAAAGUCACUGCUGCAAAUCAUUCUUACCUUUCCAUGCAAUUGAAGUGCAUUAUUUCACAAUCUGUCUUAGGGCUGUUCGAUAUAACGAUAUAUAUCGGAUGACGAUAUAAAAACGUCUAUGUUUCAUUUUACGCUAUCGUUUGUUUUGUGGUGUUGCAAAAUAAACU